rnacentral:rRNA from 1 species
GAUGAACGCUAGCGGCAGGCCUAACACAUGCAAGUCGAGGGGCAGCACAUAAAGUGGUUUACUACUUUUGGUGGCGACCGGCGGACGGGUGCGUAACGCGUAUGCAACCUGCCUCCAACAGGGGGAUAACGGAGAGAAAUUUCCACUAAUACCCCAUAAUAUCAGAAUCGGCAUCGGUUUUGGUUGAAAACUCCGGAGGUUGGAGAUUGGCAUGCGUUGUAUUAGAUAGUUGGUGAGGUAACGGCUCACCAAGUCAACGAUACAUAGGGGGACUGAGAGGUUAGCCCCCCACACUGGUACUGAGACACGGACCAGACUCCUACGGGAGGCAGCAGUGAGGAAUAUUGGUCAAUGGGGGCAACCCUGAACCAGACAUGCCGGGUGCAGGAAGACGGCUCUAUGAGUUGUAAACUGCUUUUACAAGGGGAUAAAUCGGUGUACGUGUACACCGUUGAAGGUACCUUGGGAAUAAGGAUCGGCUAACUCCGUGCCAGCCGCCGCAGUAA